rnacentral:sRNA from 1 species
UAGAGUAAUUGGUGUGCUCUUUUCAAGC